ensembl:lncRNA
CUGGGUGCAGACUGGAUGUAGUCGCCGUGUGGAGGCAGAAGGGUUUUCGUGGAGCUCCCCAUGCUGUGUGAGGAAGAGGAUGCUUUGCACUGUGUGAAACUAGCAAAAGGGCAGAGGUACGGAUAGCCUCUCCCACACAAAUCCACGCUGAGUAGAGGAAUAGCACUUUCUGGACACAGAAUUCUUUGGAUGGUCACUUAGAAUUAAAUGAACAGCGCUGUCACCUAUAGUGGAAGAAGGCAGAACACCCUGUUUCUGCUCUCAGACAGUUGAGCUCCAUCUUCUGACAUGAACAUGUGUGAUCCAGUGCUCCCUGUUCUGAUGGGGUGCUGUCUGACCCUGUUUACAUUUCCACUGGCUCAUGUUCCUCAGCUUAUAGAUGAGAUGUUCCUCAGAGAGCUUCAGGGACAUCGCAGUGUGUAUUUAAGGAAUAUUCACAAAGAAAAUUCCUGAGGAAUGAAGAAAAGACCACAGGUUGGACAUCUUUACUCUUACAAGUACAUGUUGAAAAAGCCAAAGUAGCAAUCUUGGCAGCUGCGUGUGGCAGCAGCCAGACCUUGCAGCACAGAGGGCACUUCUUUGAAUUCCUGUGUGUUACAACUGCAGCUUCCAGCUUUCCGCGAGCCUGGGCUGAUCAGCUCUGUGGAAAACAAUCCAUGUUAAUCUCUAUGAAAUCAGUGUGACCGGAUCUGCAGCCCAGCAGCAGUUCAGCAGCAAUGGAGCAUGGCUUUGGUGUUCAUUGACAGAGGAAUCCUUCUCGGUUGUGCUUUGGUCCAGAAGCCUUGUGUGUGUACAGCUGGAGGGUUGAACACUUGGAAUGGAAUGUGACUCUUAAUGUAUACUGUGAUAAGUAGACGGCUAUAGCGAGCUUAUGCAUAAAUAGCAAAUUAAUUGUAGUACUUCAGCAUUGCAGUGAAAGCGGAAAGCCUCAGGAAACCGGGCGAUUUUAGUGAAACUAAGCAUCAGCCUCUGAAACCCAAAUGAGCCCAGCUUGGUGCCCUGUGCGGAACGCUUUGGGCCGGAAGGGAACUUCACACCAACGACACGAGGAAUCGAGGCAUUCCAGGCGCAUUACGAAGGCCGCGAGCGCCGAAUCUCCGC